CCUAUGUAAAACAAACCAACAAUGUGUCGUAAAAAACAAUAAUGCAUCGUGUGCAUGUAAAGAUGGAUACAUAUUAGACUCAGCUGGUACUUGUUCUACAUCUUUACAAACUUCUACACUUAGUUCUGCAUCUUUGCAAAUUUCUAAACUUA
rnacentral:lncRNA from 1 species